AGGUUUGGGACGGAUUGGGAGGCUUUAGGUUUGUUGUCAUUCGGUGAGGGUUUCGAGGAUGGGAGGCUAUAUGCCGCCUCUGAGAUAGAUAGAGAGAGGGAGAGAGACACCGAGAGACAUAGAGAGCGAGAGAGGGACGGAGUGUGAAUGGGAGUGGGAGUGGGAGGUCUUGAGCGACAAACCCGAUUUUGUUCCAGAGAACUCUUCAACGACAAACCGAUUUUGCUCCAGAGCUCUUCAACGACAAAAUCGAUUCGGCGCCUCACCGUCGCACACCUCGCUGUCGCACUCCUUACAAAGUAUGAUGAUCUGAGCAUGGAUGAUACCGCGGCUGAUGCAAGUUUAACGAACUCAACUCUUUUUGGCUUGGACAGUCGCAGAGGCAUGGGCAAGCAUGCCGCGGAGUUGUCACUGAUGUUUAUAUGCAUAAAAAACCAAAAACUACACUUUCUUAAAUAGGCGAGAUUUGGUAAUGCAGUGUCACCUGGCUUUCUCACAAACGUUGAGAACCAUAGCAAGUGUUACUUGGUUUCGUUAUCAUUGUUGUAUUAACUCAAUUUCAACGCACUUGGCGAUGAAUUAACACGUCUGUAAGUUUUACGUAAUUUGCUGAUUCAAAUGUGCAAACCUUCUUUCUUUAUUCUAGGCAGUCUAGUGUUGGAUUUGGUCAGUUGCGUUGCGUAAACAGUUAAAGGAAUUCACCGAACGGUUGAGGCUCGCGGGCAAUGCAGCUCCUAAGUUGGGAUGGAUUGUGCCAUGUCCCCCUUUAUAAGAAUGAUAAAUAAAAGGAUCAAGUACCUGAAACUCUCUAACCUUUUAGUGUCAUUCCUUGAUCCCAACCUUUUUAAACAUUCCAAACAAGUACAUAUGGCCCUCUCAUCGAUGGACUUUUCAAGUCGGGAAGACUAGAUUAAGCAAUGCAAUCCUUUGAGGAGAUGGCAGACUAUGGAUGCAAACCGAAUUCUGCUAUUUGUAAUGUUCUUAUAAAAGGUUUUGCAGAAACAGGUGAUGUGGAAGCUGCGUGCGAGUUGUUUAGAAGAAUGAUUAAGAAGGAAUACGACCGGACCUGAAGUCCGGCACCAUUCUUGUAGAAUGCCUCUGCCAGGCGGGGAGAGUAGUUGAUGUUGUGGACCAUUUUGAGGAGUUGAAACAAAGUGGCCUCGAUCCUGACUCAGUUUCUUACCAUUUUUAUGAUAAAUGGACUUGGAAGAUCACGGAGGGUAGAGGAAGCGCUCGCACUUUAUGAUGAAAUGCGGACUAGAGGAAUUGCUCCUGAUCUUUACACAUACAAUUCGUUCACACCAAAUCUUGGACUUGCUGGAAUGGUGGAGCAAGCAGGGAGGAUUUAUGAACAACUACAACUUGUUGGUCUUGAACCUGAUGUGUUUACCUACAAUGCUCUCAUUCCACUGUACGGCACAUCCGGAGAUCCAGACCAUGCUAAUGCAGUUUACAAGAACAUGAUGGUUGGCGGUUGCAGCCCAAUGUAGGAACAUUUGCUCAGCUUCCCAUUCAAACUUGACUUCCAAGAGACACAUCUGACCCAUCUCUAUAUCUGAGGCGACAACUCAACACGUACAAAUUCAUUUUUCCGCUGUUGAUGUUUGCUUCUGAGCGUAGAUGUGUAUCUGAGGAAGUAACAUGUAUUGGAUAUUAUCUUUGACUCCCGUAUCUUUGUACGGUUUCGUUAACAUAUGUGUGUAAAUGCUGUAUCUAUUUACCUCUUUCACACCUGUUAUUAAACGGAGCUACUGCGUACGUAAUCGAUCAAAUAUUGAGUA